ncrna:unclassified sequences S4-Flavobacteria ribosomal protein leader
AGUUAUCGAAGGAUAAGCCUUAAUUCAUAGCU